rnacentral:rRNA from 1 species
AUGCAAGUCGAGCGGAUGAAGAGAGCUUGCUCUCUGAUUCAGCGGCGGACGGGUGAGUAAUGCCUAGGAAUCUGCCUGAUAGUGGGGGACAACGUUUCGAAAGGAACGCUAAUACCGCAUACGUCCUACGGGAGAAAGCAGGGGACCUUCGGGCCUUGCGCUAUCAGAUGAGCCUAGGUCGGAUUAGCUUGUUGGUGAGGUAACGGCUCACCAAGGCGACGAUCCGUAACUGGUCUGAGAGGAUGAUCAGUCACACUGGAACUGAGACACGGUCCAGACUCCUACGGGAGGCAGCAGUGGGGAAUAUUGGACAAUGGGCGAAAGCCUGAUCCAGCCAUGCCGCGUGUGUGAAGAAGGUCUUCGGAUUGUAAAGCACUUUAAGUUGGGAGGAAGGGCAUUAACCUAAUACGUUAGUGUUUUGACGUUACCGACAGAAUAAGCACCGGCUAACUUCGUGCCAGCAGCCGCGGUAAUACGAAGGGUGCAAGCGUUAAUCGGAAUUACUGGGCGUAAAGCGCGCGUAGGUGGUUUGUUAAGUUGAAUGUGAAAGCCCCGGGCUCAACCUGGGAACUGCAUCCAAAACUGGCAAGCUAGAGUAUGGCAGAGGGUGGUGGAAUUUCCUGUGUAGCGGUGAAAUGCGUAGAUAUAGGAAGGAACACCAGUGGCGAAGGCGACCACCUGGGCUAAUACUGACACUGAGGUGCGAAAGCGUGGGGAGCAAACAGGAUAGAUACCCUGGUAGUCCACGCCGUAACGAUGUCGACUAGCCGUUGGAUCCUUGAGAUCUUAUGGCGCACUAACGCAUAAGUCACGCCUGGGAGUCGCCCAGGUAAACUCAAUGAU